CUUAGAAUACUUCCCGAGUCUCUUGUAGAUUUCUACAGUCACUCGCUUUCCGGUUCUGUCUCUGGGUUGGCAAAGCUGCUUUCUUUAUCACUCUCUUUCUCUCUCUCUCUGGAUGUCAGCUGGUCUCUGCCUCUUGCUUUGCUGGUCUCCUCAAAAAAGCCUCCAGAAGAUUCAAGAGAGAUUGGUCUACAGAGGCGCAGAAGCCCACAAGCUAGUCCGUGAAUAACGAAAACAAAUGCAUAAACAGGCAGUGAGAAGGUAGCGCAGAUUUCAGAAAAUAAGAAGCUCUUUCAGCAGGCUGGUGUGGGUUGGGAUUAACCCUCAGCUGGAACCAUGUUCGGUCGUUGGCUCUGCUUCUGACACGUCAAGACGCUACAUGUCGGUGAGGUUUCCAAACGGUAAUGCAGCCUUCCCAAGCUCCACAUUGAGAAUGGUUCCACCACCAUCAGUCAAGUCAGAUGAACGUCGCCUUCCUCUGAUCUCUGAAUCCAAUGCUAUUCUGACCUCUGCAACUAGAAGGUCACAGGAAUACAAGCGCAAAAGUCAAGGCCAGCACCACACUGAGGGAGUUGACAUUAGUCAGAAGUUCCCAUGGUUUAAAGUUAGAUUUAUUUAAGAUUGUCACGUGCAUCUUUCGAGAGUGAAAUGUGGAUAACGUUACCAUGUUCCGCCACCAUCUUGCAUUACAAAAAAAUUACUGAAUAAAUUGUAUAAAUUGUUAAAUACUGAAAAAAAAUAUUGAAUUGAUAUUACAGUUGGUUCUGC